UCACUUCUGUUCUCCUUUGUGUCGGUUACGUUAUGGUUACUGUUUUAUAAUUGUGGUCACUUUAUUUGUGUUGCUAAUUUCACUUUAAAGUAAUAAAGUGUUAUUCAAUCAUCCAAUAUUGUAAAAGACGUUGGUUUUAUUCACAGAACUUACUGGCGGUUCUGUGGAUGAAAAGAAUUUUAUAUUGUGGCAAUUCUAAAUAUAAAAAAGUUUAAAAUAUCUAUGAUUUUUUUUUUAAUAUUUUAUAAUUGAAUUAAAUUGAUCUAUUAAGCAACUAUUUUGCUUGACAUGUAUAACGAGGCAAAUUGAGGCCGAGGAAGCGAUUUCAGGUGAAAAAAUAGCGUCUGUUGCAGCUAAACAUGAAUCAGCAUACGUGAAAAAGGCCUCCGUUUGGGACGGGUAAAUUUUUAAGGAGUGCCCAAGAAAUCGAUUUUCAGACGUCAAUAUCUCCGAAACGGCUCAUGGGAUCUUGAUUUUGACCACGCCAUUCUUUUUUCCGCCCGUUUUCAAGUUAGGGAAAAAUCUAAAAUAAAUCCAAAUUCCAAACUAAAAUCCUCUAUCUCCGAAACGGCUGCCAUGAUUUUUACCGCGCCAUUCGUUUUUCCACCGGUUGUUUUAAUGAGGAUAAAAUUAAGAAUAAAUCCAAAAUCCAAACUGAUAUCCUCUAUCGCCUUUGUGAUAUAACAAUAAAAAUCAUUUUGCAAAUUAGAAGUAAAAUAAAUAGCCGCUUGCUUAGGAAGAGCCCAACAAACGGUGUGAAUUAUGCCUGAGCAAUUGUUGCAACAUUUUUAUAAUCAACAAUGACUGCAAUCACAAUAAAAAACAAAUAAUAGAGUUAUCAUACGAAACGAAACAAGGUUGAUGAUAUUUAAAUUGAGAAACUGACGAAAAUGGGGGAACCGCAACAAGCAAGAAUUUGCAAACUUUGCAAUGGAACAGUUCCGGUGGGUGAAGGAAUACUGACCCAGUCGAAGGGUACGCAGAGAUUCAUUGAAGUUAGUCUUGCCAAGAAUGAUGGACUGGCUGCUGGACUUGCUCCUGAAAGUCGAAUUCUGUGUCAUGACAAGUGUUGGAGGGCGUACACGACGUACACCAUUAAGCCGCCCAAAGACACAGCUGCAAUCAAGGCACUGGCCAAGUGGGCCACACGUUUUCCCCACCAAGUCAGCAUGACUGAAAUACUCCAAGAGGCGAAAAGAUUUAAAGAACUGACAGCAGUCGAGCCAAAAAUAAUAGAAGAAAAAGUCCAGGAACUUAUGGUGAAGGAGUAUCUUAUAAGUAAGCGGCCAGGAAAGUCGACGAUUUACACCAAAAAAAGCUCCGUAGAGCAGAUUCUCGGCGACCACUUUGACAUGAGCAACAGGUCCCAGGCUGACAAGACAAAGGAGGUUGCAGGACUGUUGAGAGACGAAAUCUUGAGGCUGCCUACGAACACCACCCACUUUCCGUCAUAUAGUGAAUUGGAUGACCCAGCCUCUAAAGUUCCUCCCUUGGUCAGAGAAUUUCUGGAGACGGUAGGAGGCAAACGCCUUGGAUCUGCUCUACCGUUGAUCACUGCCUGCCAAAUUCUUCAAAAAGUAGUGGUUGCCAGAGGCUACGUUUCCCCGAUACAACUCUAUCUCGGAGCCGUCAUCUACCAGCAGUUUAAAUCCAAGAGGAUUAUAAAUUUCUGCAACAAAUUUGGACUCACUUCAGCCUACACAGAAAUUUUGAACUUAUUUAAAACGAACGCCUCUCAAAUGCCAAGAAUCCUCGAAGGAGGCUAUGUACAGUACGGCUGGGACAACCUGGACAUCAGCAGCUUCUCGUUCGAAGGGGAAGUGCAGCUGCACCAUCUAAUAGGACUGCAGAUAGUUUCUCCCCGCACAGCAAUAGAUUUGCAACAGCCCAUUCCAAGGGAGCCAGUCAAAAAGGUUGCUGAGGAAUUUUAUAAUAUCCAAGUCUUAGAGUGCCCUGAGGAAGCAACAACCCCUAUGAUUUCCCUGUAUGAGGAUGUCAUGCCUGUAAAGAAAGACAAUCGGCACGAUGAUUUUGAAAGCGAGUGCGACAGUUGGCUCGAGCAAACUACUGAGAGCCACAUAGGCUGGAAGGGGUGGCUGGAAAAAGAACAUGGAGCUCAGGAGACUGCAAAUAACGCCGGAUUUCUAAUAACCCCACGAAUCCAACAGCCUGCAAAUAACUACAGCAGUCUUUUCACUGCAAUGAAGGCCACGAUUGGAAUGUGCCCAGUGAAGAACCAAAACAGGGUCAUUUUCACUGUUGACAACGCACUUUACCUAAAGACGCUGAAAAUACAUAUCAACUUACGCAACACUGACGUCGAAAUUGCCCGAAUAGUGCCUUCAUUAGGCCCAUGGCACUUGUGGCUAAAUUUUCUCGGAGCAGUCGGCAAUAUCAUGCGAGGCAGCGGCAUCGAAGAUCUCAUCAAGGUUCUCUACUCGAAUCGCACUUGCGGAAUCAUACUCGCCGGACAGGACUACCAAAGGGGUCUCAGAGCACACUUGCUGAUCCACGAAGGACUUCUGGUUUGCCAUGCCGUGGAAACUUACAGACCCCCAGCAAGCAGAGGCCGACCCACAUCAGUCAGAGUCCUAGCCAAAAUCACCUCGUCACAGCUUGCCAUUCCGAGGCAACUUUCAGAACUCCAGCCAGCAGAGAGGGUUGUUUUAUAUUUUGGCCCAUACACACUAAAGAAUUGGGAAGACAAAUUGAUCAACUGUUGUGGGAAACCAACUCUCCUCAUCCGUCUCUCGACCAACAAAGUCGUCAGCAGUACCCAUCACGUACACCCCAACAUCCACCUAUACCUGCGAGGCUGCACCCCCUUGUCAAAAACGAGACCGUCGGAGGUUGUACUCGAGGUUGCUCAAGACCAUAAUAUGGUCUCGAACAACCUCGGAGGUGUCCAUCGACCACGAACGGUCUCAGGUGACCUCGGACGGUCUCGAACAACCUUGGACUGUCUCAAGUAUUAUUUAUGGUUAUUAUCAGAAAAUGCAAUUAAAAUUUUUAUUUUUAAGCUUGUUAAUAACCUUUGGUACUUUUUAAUUAGAGGAAAAUUAUUUAUGCAUUUGUGAAUCCAUAAACUAUAUUUUUUACUCAAAUUGAAUUCCACCUUUACUUUUAAUCUUCUAAAAAAACUUUCUGACCCCGAAUAAUUUUUGUGUGGCCUUAUUUAUAGAGUGAUUUAAGUUGCUUUGCUUAUUUAACAUAAAUUUUCCAAUCAAAUUGAAUUUUUUGUUUAAUUUAGGAAAAUACGUUACAUAAAUAUAACACCUGCAUGCAUUGAAAAUAAAAUUUAUUAUAAUUUUUUUCACAAAUAAUUUAACUUAAAUCACUCUGUUAAUAAGGCCACACAAAAAUUAUUCGGGGUCAGCAAGAAUUUUUUUUUUUUAGAAGAUUAUUAUAUUUAACAAAAAUUGAAAAUAAAGGUGGAAUUCAAUUUGAGUAAAAAAUAUAGUUUAUGGAUUCACAAAUGUAUAAAUAAUUUUCGUCUAAUUAAAAAGUACCAAAGGUUAUUAACAAGCUUAAAAAUAAAAAUUUUAAUUGCGUUUUCUGAUCAUAACCAUGAAUAAUACUUGAGACAGUCCAAGAUCAUUCGAAACCGUCCGAGGUUGCCUGAGACCGAUUGAGGUUGUUCGAGACCGAGGGGCAACCGUUGCCCCUAAAUAUUUGUCAUGUAAAAUUUUGAGGUCGUUCGAGACCGUCCGAGGUCACCUUCAAGGUCGUUCGAGACCAUGGUCUUGAGCGACCUCGAGUACGACCUCCGACGGUCUCGUUUUUGACAAGGGGCAAGGAAGCCAUUCGGGUCCCCGACAAAUAAAUUUAGGAGAGAGGAUCCCAGCCAAAUAUAAUGUGAUGAUGCCACCUCGAUCUCUCUAUCACCACUGAACCCUGGCUGCAGUCUGUUAAUUCUCGCCAACUUGAACAGCAAAAAAUUACUGAUAUUAUAGUCAGGCAUUGCCUUAUUGAUCCUCAAUUUCAUUACUUUAUCUGUAAUUCUAUUUUAUAUCUUAACUCAUGGAAAAAUUUUGAAUCAUUAAACGAGAUACGGCUAACAUCUUUAAGGUACAUUUUCGCACAGCAGUGAGGUAUAAUUCUUUGGACUUAUGAAUUUUUCUUACUUGAUUAUAUUCAUAAUAGACAAAUGUUUUGCAUCUCAUGGAAUGAAUAAAGUAUUAUACGUAUUUUAGUUGUAAGAUUAAUUUUUUUAAGCCCCAU